AAUGAGGGACAGUUAAUACUUAAUAACGCAAGCUUGUCUUGAAGAAGAAAAACAAAGCCAUAAAUCCCACCUAAAACCCCUCCACCGCUUUUCUCUCUUCAUCUUCGGCUUUGAAGCAAGAACAAGAGGCAGAGGUAGAUCGAUCGAACCUACAAAAGGUCAAGAUAGAGCUUUGGUUCUUUACUUGUUCUGUGGCAGAUCGAGCUCUUGGUCCAAAAUACAUUGAGAAAGUCCUGACUUGGAUAAUCCAUGAAACACUUAUCUCCAGGGUGAGGCCAAGACUGCUGAAGUGAUUUCUCAUUCCUUGCACCAAGAAAAAAUGAUGCUGCUAGAGAGAUUGCUCUGGUUAUAUCAAAUGCGAAGAACAAGGUGUUCUAGAAUGCCGGUGGCCUUCUGCUGAACCUUCAAGAGAUGGGUUUGGCAAACCCAAUCAAUAGAAAAUAGUUAGCAGUGAAGUUAAAGCUUUUGGUCUAUGCACUUGUUUCAGUAUUCACGUUAUGAAUGACUAGAAUAUUGAGGAACGAUUGAUACAACAGGAUGAAUACAAAUGGCAAGACAAGUGCAUGUGGGGCACCAAAUUUCCUUGCACCCAUUUUUUCUUAAUUCCCCGUUAAGUUUUCAAUAGGAUUAAUAAAUGAUUUCAGAUGCACAGGCUUCCUGCUGCAUGUUUUAGGAAAAUCUUGAUGGAAUAAAUGUCCAAACCAAAUGGGAACUUUAAAUCCCCCCUGUGGCUUCUAGAAUCCAUCUUAUACGACAGAAAUUCUAGCUCCAGAGAAGACUUGCAGGGACUUUUGCCCUUGAACACUGUUGUUUUACCUGGAAAGAGCCCCAGUUUGUGGACCAAAUUUUUGAGGUUGGAUGCUUUUGUAAGAAUGGAAUUUAUCUUCCAAUUUUAUCAUCUGCAAGGUA